rnacentral:rRNA from 1 species
AAUGAACGUUGGCGGCGUGGAUUAGGCAUGCAAGUCGUGCGACAGGCCCGCAAGGGCGCUGAGCGGCGAAAGGGAGAGUAACGCGUAGGUUAUCUACCCUCAGGACCGGGAUAGCUACGGGAAACUGUAGGUAAUACCGGAUGAUGUCUCCGGACUAAAGGUGUGAUUCCGCCUGUGGAGGAGCCUGCGUCCGAUUAGCUAGUUGGUGGGGUAACGGCCUACCAAGGCUGAGAUGGGUACGGGGUAUGAGAGUAUGCCCCCGCUCACUGGGACUGAGACACUGCCCAGACACCUACGGGUGGCUGCAGUCGAGGAUCUUCGGCAAUGGGCGCAAGCCUGACCGAGCGACGCCGCGUGUGGGAUGAAGGCCUUCGGGUUGUAAACCACUGUCAGUGGGGAGGAAAUGCUACAGGGUUCUCUCUGUAGUUUGACCUAUCCGCAGAGGAAGUACGGGCUAAGUUCGUGCCAGCAGCCGCAGUAAAAC